rnacentral:rRNA from 1 species
GCUCAGAGCGAACGCUGGCGGCAGGCUUAACACAUGCAAGUCGAGCGCCCCGCAAGGGGAGCGGCAGACGGGUGAGUAACACGUGGGGAUCUGCCCAAUGGUACGGAAUAGCUCCGGGAAACUGGAAUUAAUACCGUAUGUGCCCGCAAGGGGAAAGAUUUAUCGCCAUUGGAUGAACCCGCGUCGGAUUAGCUAGUUGGUGGGGUAAAAGCCCACCAAGGCGACGAUCCGUAGCUGGUCUGAGAGGAUGAUCAGCCACACUGGGACUGAGACACGGCCCAGACUCCUACGGGAGGCAGCAGUGGGGAAUAUUGGACAAUGGGCGCAAGCCUGAUCCAGCCAUGCCGCGUGAGUGAUGAAGGCCUUAGGGUUGUAAAGCUCUUUCGCCGACGAAGAUAAU